CUACGAACUGGAAGUGACUGGCAUGCUGCCGGUCCGCAGCAUGCCAGUCACUUCCUGACUUCCAGUCCAGCAGCCAAAUCUUCACGGCCCAGUACUGAGCCGCAGCCCAGGGGUUGGGAACCUCUGCUAGGUAACACUCGCACAGAGGACCACACUGACAUGGGCUCCAUGGAGGCACACAGAUUCAUUUGCACUAAUCAGGGGUCUAGGCUAUUAAUUUAAAAAGGAGAGAGAAUGAGUUUUUGCUCUCUGCCUGAACUGAAGUGCUUAAAGACCAAGUCAUGGUAUUAAAAGUAGUUUCACACUAUAGCCACAGGGUGGCAUCACUAUGUAACUUUGGCACAAGUGCUUAAUAUUGUUCUCUGUUUUUCUAGUCUCUUGACAGCUGUUAAUUCAUAAUUGGACCAGCAGUUUUAGUUUGCAAAAAACAUUUUUUCAUAAAACUUGCAAUAAGACCAAUAGAAACCUUUCUAUGAUUAAAGAGAAAAAAAGAAAUCAACGGGGAGUCGUUUAGCUGAUAUUACCCCGUGGUAUAUAGCAGGCAGCCUGAAAUUGCAACUGAUGCAUUGAUUUUUCUUGUCUAAACAGAGAACAGUAGAAAGUAAACGAGGAGCAUAAAUACUAAAAAGUAAAUUGGAUUUUUUUAUGAUCAGUUUCUAUGGUCUCAAGGUCCAUGGUCUUCUCCAUGGAACAUAUAUUUAAAUUAACAUUGUCACUUGCAUCAUACUUUAGUUAUGUUUCGUCAAAAAAAAUUUUCUUGAGUUAAUUUGUUUUGUGUUAUCUUGUCUGAAGUAACUGUCUGUGUUACUGGUGUGAUUGAUAAGGCAGUGGCAUAAGUUUUGAGGGAGAAAUUUUCAGAAGUGCCUAAGUGAUUUAGGCAGCAUACAAAAAACUAGAACUCUUGGUUCCAAAAUGAUACCUGUUAUUAGACCAACUGGGAAGUCGCAAGAAAAAUGUCCUUUUCUGCAAGCUUUCGGGAUCAAAGUCCCUUCAUCAGGCUCUGGGGAAAGUGUAGAUGGUACAUGAUGGUAAAAAGUCCCCACAGGUAGGAAACAAACUUCAUUUUUGCACAGAGGGAGCUGAAGAUGGAAGGCUGUCCCUCUGGGUCCAUGAGUGUCUUUGUGAGCUGUGUUGAGUAGCUCUUUGAUGUGUAGAUCAGGUAGAACUCCUUCCCUGGAGGUGUCAGAUGGCAGGCAGGGAGGUAAAAAAACUUCCUUGUUCUGCAAUGAGGUUUAAAAUCCAAACUUCUGCAAUGAAGUUUAAAAGUGAUUUAGGAGCACACAAUGAAGUUUAAAAGUGAAUUUCAGUGGGAAUCCCCUGGGGUGUUUUUGCAGAUCCCAUUUUGAACUUCUAAAAUCUAAAACUUAAAAUUGUCAGAGCCAAGUAAAAAAAUACAGGGUAUGAAUAAAGGACUUUAUAUGACAGUGCUGGGUAGUCUAGCUCAAUCCAGAGGGAAAAAUGAGCAAGUGUUUAGCUUGACUCACAUUAACUUUUCUAUUAACUUUAAUGGGACCGCUCUGAGAUUUAACUUUAAACACAUCCAUAUGUCUUUUGCUAGAUUGAGAUAGAGAGCUUGGCAUUUUGCAGGAUCAUUAGUUUAUUAUGACAAUUGGAUGUGAAUGAAGUAACUCAUUCAAAGAUUUGCUUUUAUCUUUCUCAGGCCAAGCUGGUUCCAACCUAGGAGCUUGUUGUUCCCAAUCAUUCUUACCCUGAGUAAUACCUUAGUAUAGGAACAAUUUGAUUGAUUGUUUAGAUCUCCUUUUUCAUGACACCAAGAUAGUUUAAGGCCACAAUUUAGAUUCAACAGUAUCUCAACACAAUAAGAAACCAUCUUGGAAGCCCCAUUUCAGUAACCCAACAUUUAAUUUAUGUUGGAUUAAUCGUAUAAGGAAUGAAUGCAAAAGAAAAAUGCUUUUCCAAGUGCGAAGGUCACAAUCUAUGCUCAACUGUACGUUUCUACUUUGUAUGAGAUGGUUGUUUUAAAAAAGAAUCUGGUAGCUUGACUUUUUCUUUCAGCUCUGCAUUCCACUUUCUUCCUAAUUAUUCAGUUUAAGGAUGUCCUGUAAAAGCCACCUUUGAAAAUGAGGGUAUGUGCACACACACUAGUUACCAGGAGAUAAAAGAAGGCAGGUUUUUACCAUAGAUUCAUAGAUUGUAAGACCAGAAAGGACCUUGGAAGAUCAUCUGGUCCAGCCCCCUGCACCAAGCAGGAAAGAUAACUGGGGGUCGGGUGACCCCAGCAAGGUGACUGUCUAGUCUCCUUUUGAAGAUUUCCAGGGUAGGUGAUUGUACCACCUCUGGAGGGAGCUUAUUCCACAGUCUGGACACCCAGACUGUGAAGAAGUUUUUCCUUAUGUUGAGCCUGAAUUGGUCUUCCAGGAGUUUGUGGCCAUUACUCCUGGUUUUCCCCUCAGGUGCCCUGGUGAACAUUUGCCCACCAAGCCCUUGAUGUACUCCCCUAGUGUAGCGGUAAGCUGCUACCAGGUCCCUUCUCAGCCUUCUUUUCAGGCUGAGUCCCAGAUCCCUCAGACUUUCCUCAUAUGGCUUGCCGUGUAAGACUCUGAUCAUACAGGUGGCUCUUCUUGGGACUCUCAAGCUUGUCCACGUCCUUGUUAAAGUGUGGUGCCCAGAACUGGAUGCAAUACUCCAGCUGUGGUAUCAUCAGUGCUGAGUAGAGUGGAAGAAUCACCUCCUUAGUUUUGCUGGAGAUGCAUCGAUUGAUGCAUGCCAGAGUAUUAUUUGCCUUACUGGCUACAGCAUCGCACUGUCAGUUCAUAUUCAUACUGUGGUCUGUUAUUACCCCCAGGUCCCUUUCAGUCGUGGUGCUAGUCAGUUUGGUGCCACCAAGCCUGCAGAUGUGUUGGGGAUUGCUUGUCCCAAGACGGAGACUUUACAUUUCUCAACGUUGAACUUCAUCAGGUUCCAACCUGCCCAACUUGUUAGCCUGUCUAGAUCUGCCUGUAUCUGCAGCCUAUCUUCGAGCAUGACUACACUCCUCCAUAAUUUGGUGUUAUUCGCAAACUUAACCAGUGAACUCUUCAGCCCCACAUCCAAAUCGUUAAUAAGGAUGUUGAAAAGUACUGGACCGAGCACCAACCCCUGCUGGACACUGCUGCCCAUUUCUUGCCAGGAUGACACGGAUCUGUUCACUACGACUCUUUGGGUCCUAUCCUGCAGCUAGUUUCUCACCCACCUGACUGUCUCAGAGUUAAGCCCACAAUCCUCCAAUUUCCUUCAAAGACAUUGUGGGAUAUUAGAUCAAAGGCCUUUUGGAAGUCUAGGUAUACAAUGUCAACCUGCUCUUUCAUGUCCAGGUGGCGAGUUACCUGGCUAUAGAAGGAGAUGAGGUUGGUAAGGUAAGACCUGCCCACAGUGAAGCCAUGCUGGCUGACAUUCAGAAACCUUACCUUCUGCAAGCUUAUUGCAGACAGAUUCCUUGAUGAACUUUUCUAGGAUUUUCCCUAGGAUGGAAGUCAGGCUGAUUGGCCUAUAGUUACCUGGGUCCUUCCUCCUGCCCUGGUGGAUGGGCACAACACUGGCCCUCUUCCAGUCCUCAAGGACUUCUCCAGAGCACCAUGAGUUGUGGAAGAGUUUCACCAGGGGUUCUGCAAUGACUCCAGCCAGCUCCUUCAGCACUCACGGAUGAAGAUCAUCAUGCUGACUUGUAUAUGUCUAAUUUGUCAAACCUCAGCUGAUUCAUGGGAAUUGCUGGAGUGCAUACACUUAACCACUAAAGAACUGUAAUGAAGCGGGAGUACCAAGGUACUUAGAUGAAAGUGAUUUUUCAUCUAUUGAGAGAAGAUGAAGCCACCACAUGGUUAUCAGACAUCUUGUUCUGCAGCUCGUUCAGAGUUCCCAUGUGGCAGUGGGAAGCCCUUGAAAGAGGUUGCGAGAAAGUGUGGAAGAGAAAGGACUCCUGCGGCACUGCUGGAUCUUGGCGGAGAUCUCCCACAAAGCCACAGCUCCUGCCACCAAGGGCUGGAUCUUCGUGUAAGUGCCCAGCUGGCCUGGAGAUCUCUCAGUGCUAAAGGGGAAAGCUUAAUUAUGACUAGAAGCAAAGAUAGAGUUGAAGAAAUAAGCACAUGGGGGACGCGGUCUGUUGGUGUCUUCAUAUGGCACAGAGAGGCAAAGCCUGGACUGCGUGACUGACAGUGCUAACACAUUCGAAUUGCUUUGUCAAGGAGGCGACUGGAUCCCACUAAUCCGUCUUUGAGUCGCUUCUCACACAUCCCAAUCUGAAUCUGCUCUCUUCUUGGGGACUCUGGCAGCUCCCCCGAAUUGCAGACUGGCUUUUUGCCCUCGGGUCAGUCAGAGGCUCUUCUGUGUUUUCACCUUCUUUUUGUACUCUGUGUUUAAACCAUAUUGCUCAAGUUUGUCAUUAUUAUGUGGCAUAUAAGACUUCUGACAUUUCUAAAAUAAAGUUUCAUAGUUCG